AGGCUUAACACAUGCAAGUCGAGCGAAGACUUCGGUCUUAGCGGCGGACGGGUGAGUAACGCGUGGGAACGUGCCCUUCUCUAAGGAAUAGCCACUGGAAACGGUGAGUAAUACCUUAUACGCCCUUCGGGGGAAAGAUUUAUCGGAGAAGGAUCGGCCCGCGUUAGAUUAGGUAGUUGGUGGGGUAACGGCCUACCAAGCCUACGAUCUAUAGCUGGUUUGAGAGGAUGAUCAGCCACACUGGGACUGAGACACGGCCCAGACUCCUACGGGAGGCAGCAGUGGGGAAUCUUAGACAAUGGGGGAAACCCUGAUCUAGCCAUGCCGCGUGAGUGACGAAGGCCCUAGGGUCGUAAAGCUCUUUCGCUGGGGAAGAUAAUGACUGUACCCAGUAAAGAAACCCCGGCUAACUCCGUGCCAGCAGCCGCGGUAAUACGGAGGGGGUUAGCGUUGUUCGGAAUUACUGGGCGUAAAGCGCGCGUAGGCGGACUAUUAAGUCAGAGGUGAAAUCCCGGGGCUCAACCCCGGAACUGCCUUUGAUACUGGUAGUCUUGAGUUCGAGAGAGGUGAGUGGAAUUGCGAGUGUAGAGGUGAAAUUCGUAGAUAUUCGCAGGAACACCAGUGGCGAAGGCGGCUCACUGGCUCGAUACUGACGCUGAGGUGCGAAAGUGUGGGGAGCAAACAGGAUUAGAUACCCUGGUAGUCCACACCGUAAACGAUGAAUGCCAGUCGUCGGGUAGCAUGCUAUUCGGUGACACACCUAACGGAUAA
rnacentral:rRNA from 1 species